rnacentral:rRNA from 1 species
GCGGCAAGACGGAAAGACCCCGUGAACCUUUACUAUAGCUUGACACUGAACAUUGAGCCUUGAUGUGUAGGAUAGGUGGGAGGCUUUGAAGUGUGGACGCCAGUCUGCAUGGAGCCGACCUUGAAAUACCACCCUUUAAUGUUUGAUGUUCUAACGUGGACCCGUGAUCCGGGUUGCGGACAGUGUCUGGUGGGUAGUUU